rnacentral:rRNA from 1 species
AUUGAACGCUGGCGGCAGGCUUAACACAUGCAAGUCGAGCGGGGAAAGGUAGCUUGCUACCUGACCUAGCGGCGGACGGGUGAGUAAUGCUUAGGAAUCUGCCUAUUAGUGGGGGACAACGUUCCGAAAGGAACGCUAAUACCGCAUACGUCCUACGGGGGAAAGCAGGGGAUCUUCGGACCUUGCGCUAAUAGAUGAGCCUAAGUCGGAUUAGCUAGUUGGUGGGGUAAAGGCCUACCAAGGCGACGAUCUGUAGCGGGUCUGAGAGGAUGAUCCGCCACACUGGGACUGAGACACGGCCCAGACUCCUACGGGAGGCAGCAGUGGGGAAUAUUGGACAAUGGGCGCAAGCCUGAUCCAGCCAUGCCGCGUGUGUGAAGAAGGCCUUUUGGUUGUAAAGCACUUUAAGCGAGGAGGAGGCUCCUUUAGUUAAUACCUAAAGAGAGUGGACGUUACUCGCAGAAUAAGCACCGGCUAACUCUGUGCCAGCAGCCGCAGUAAAAC